UACGUAGGGUGCAAGCGUUGUCCGGAAUUAUUGGGCGUAAAGAGCUUGUAGGCGGUUUGUCGCGUCUGCUGUGAAAUUUCGGGGCUCAACCCCGAACUUGCAGUGGGUACGGGCUGACUAGAGUGCGGUAGGGGAGACUGGAAUUCCUGGUGUAGCGGUGAAAUGCGCAGAUAUCAGGAGGAACACCGGUGGCGAAGGCGGGUCUCUGGGCCGUAACUGACGCUGAGGAGCGAAAGCGUGGGGAGCGAACAGG
rnacentral:rRNA from 1 species